rnacentral:rRNA from 1 species
GACCGAGGGUGCAAACGUUGUUCGGAAUUACUGGGCGUAAAGCGUGUGUAGGCGGCUUUGCAAGUCGGAUGUGAAAGCCCGGGGCUCAACCUCGGAAGUGCACUCGAUACUGCAGAGCUAGAGUUUCGGAGAGGUUGGUGGAAUUCUCGGUGUAGAGGUGAAAUUCGUAGAUAUCGGGAGGAACACCAAUGGCGAAGGCAGCUCGCUGGGACGGUACUGACGCUGAGGCGCGAAAGCGUGGGGAGCAAACAGG